GAGGAAAAAGGGUCAGUUGCAUCUCUAAAACCAAUUUCAACUAUCAAAACGAUAGUUAGGGUUUGUUUCAGUUCGAAGACGACGAAAGCCCUCCCAGCAAAAGCCCUAAGCCCCUUCCCCACUCGAUUCCGCGAUUUGAAUCGAACGAAUCACAAUUGACGAGGAAAGAGGCGAGUUCCUCUCUCUACCAAAUUCACGCUGUGGAUCUCUCACUCCGAUCAGGCAAUAAUGGUCCAACCCUUCAUCAGACAUUGAUUCAUGGAUCCUGAAGGCAAGAAGUUUGGAAAAGGGCCAAGAGAACUUACUGGUGCAGUAGAUCUUAUAAGUCACUAUAAGUUGUUGCCCCACCACGAUUUCUUCUGCAAGAGGUCACUUCCCUUGUCUAUUUCAGAUACCCACUACCUUCACAAUGUGGUGGGAGACACUGAAAUCAGGAAAGGGGAAGGGAUGCAACUGGACCAACUCAUUCAGGAUACAUCCUAUUCAAGAGGGGCAAAUGCUCGGAUUCAGCCCUUUGACCUAGAUGUCCUCAGAGAAGCCUUUCAACUGAGGGAAACUACUCCGAUUGAUCUUCCUCCUGCAGAGAAGGGGAUUCCUACUAGUGCUGGAAAAUCUAAAAGUGAGUCCAAAGACAAGGAGAGGAAGCAUAAAAAGCACAAGGACAAAGACCGAGAGAAGGAUAAAGAACAUAAGAAGCACAGGCACCGUCAUAAGGAUCGAAGUAAGGAAAAGGACAAGGAGAAAAAGAAAGAUAAAAGUGGGCAUCACGAUUCUGGUGCUGAGCCCUCAAAGAAACACCAUGAGAAGAAAAGGAAGCAUGACGGAGACGAAGAUCUUAAUGACAUUCACAGUCACAAGAAAAGUAAGCGUAAGAGCGCAAAGAUUGAAGAGACAGGCACCAUUAGGGUAGCAGGCUGAUAGAUGGCAUGUAGUCAAUUUUUUAUUUUUACUUUGUUCAAAUGUCACGUUGAAAAUUUGGAGGGUCCUUGCUUACUGUUGUGAAAUUUCUCGAGGACGCUGCACUAACUAAAGUUCAUCAAGAAGGUGAAUUCACCUGUCAAAGAUAUAAUGAACCGAAGGUGCAUAUAAAUUGAAACUGAACUACUUCUUUGUAUCAUAACUGAGGCCCUGAUAUAAUUUGCAGUAACAUGCAAAACUUUGUUCCUUUUUCUUAGUUUUAUCAGCAUGCUCAAUAUCUCAGCACUUGUUCAUUGAGUGGUUGCCAUUAUUGUGACUUCUUAGGAUUUGAUUUCUCAUAAUCAGUUGUAAUCUGCUUGUAGCUAGGAUAAAUGGAGGUGGUAGGUAAGGGUAGGUAUUUUUCCCUUCUGUCCUAGAGUUAACACCAACAUGUCUCCAUUGUACUAGAAAGGGAAGCCUUUCUAAGGUUUGGUGUUGUGUAUUUAUUUAGUUUGAGUUCUCAGGAAUUGGAACCGAGAGUGGGAGUUUGUAAACACAAAUAGAUUCUAAUAUAAUGGGGGUUAUAGCUUUC